UCUCCACAGUGGAGCGCACAGGUGAGCACAAUCAUUGGCAGCUCACGCCAGCACCCCAGUAAUUUUGGCUGCUCAGAACUUUGUCCAGUGGUCUUGCAGAGCAGCUGAUGGCAGCAGGAAAGCGACAUCGCAUGCUAAAUCAUUGGACUAAAACACAUGGGAAAAAAGGAAAAGAUCAGAGAGGCUACCGUCUCUGCCAUGCCGGACGGACUCCCUCUCGUCUUUAUUGCCUCCCGGCUCUCCUCGGCGUGCUGAGCUCUGAGGAAUAAGAUCUCUGAUAGGGGAUUAAAACCCGAACCUGUUUCCAGAUGAGACCGUUCACUCUUCGGUCAAGGUUGUUUUCCAGUCAUCCAGCGUAAAAUGAGAAACCACAGCCUGUUGGCUAGGAGUUAGAUCCGGGGUGUCCAAAGUGCGGCCCGCAGAUAAUAUUUUAAUAUUUAAAUGUUGCCGUGUUGACACUAAUAACCAGGGGCGUCAAAAAAAAUGACAAAUUCAGAUUAACUGGGAUUCUUACUUUUAAUGAU